rnacentral:sRNA from 1 species
UUAUAAAGUUCUAAUAUAACUUUAUGUACAAUUAUUAUUUAUGAUUAUGCAAAAUAAAAUAGAGGGCAUAAAUGUUUUAUUUGUUUAGGAUAUUCUUAUAUAAAUAUUACCCCAAAGCUGUAAACAUCUGAUUUCGUCGAGAUGAUUUUCUACUUACCUUACUCUGGGGACAUAUAUCUGAUGCCAAAUGAAAAUGAAAAUCAAACUCAUAACUCUUGAGAGCUUUUCUCAUCGUGAGAUAGUUUGCUUACAAUGUUCCAGCCAAUUUACUUGUGUUAGCCUUUGUCUCAUUUUCUGCAAAGAUCUGAGCCAUCCCGAAUCUUCGGAGUCAUGUCUUUGUCAAGUAAAACAUUGCUUGGUUUUAGAUCCCUAUGAACUAUUCUCAAUCGGGAGUCUUGGUGAAGAUAGAGAAUUGCUCGAACGAUGCCAUUGAUGAUAUCAAACCUCGUCUGCUAAUUCAGUUUACAUUUUUGGCUUUGGUCGACAGCAAAACACAUACUUUAGAACAUUCCACUAACACAGCUAUAAGAAGAUAAGAAAGGACAGUGAAAUGUCCUAAACGAAUAGAAAAGAAUCGAGACUUCCAUUCUCGAGGUACUCGUAGACAAGCAUAACUUCCGUCCACGUAACAACCAAGAAGACGGACGAGAUUAUUGUGUUGGAGAUUCGAGAUAAGUCUUACCAUGUUCAAGAACCCCUCGACACCUUGAGGGGACAUGUUUGUCAGUUUCUUCACAGCGAUUUGUUGCCCAUCAAGUAACCUCUCCUGUUAACCAAACAUCUCUUUACAAAAAAAGAAAAUAAAGUAGAUGGAGAUGAAAAAUGAUGUUUGUUUUUUACAAUUUAACUGAUCAUUUGGAUGAUUCACUUGGAUGAUCCAUCUCAAUGACUUUGUAAGUUUAGGCAAAUUUUUAAAACUCAUUUGGAUGGAAUUGAUUGGACCAUUUGGAUAGAGAUGGUUUAGUCAUUAGGAACAAUUAACAAAUAUACCAUUUUUAAUAAUACUAAUUUUCUAUAAAAAAAAAUUUUAAUAUUUUUUUU